rnacentral:hammerhead_ribozyme from 1 species
CUGCUGAAGAGUUCCACAAUAGGACGAAACGGCCGUCCAG